GUUUUGGGGCGACAGCAACCUCCGCACAAAAUUUUGGGGGAGGUCAAUUCAGCUUGAUCCUGUUGGAGUUCUGGCCCUGGAGUUUGAUGAUGGUGAAAUAUUCCAAUGGAGCAAGGUGACAACAACAAUUUACAAUCUUAUCCUUGGUAAAGUGUACUGUGAUCACCAUGGAAUGAUGCAUAUACAUGGAAAUCGACAAUAUUCAUGCAAACUCAAGUUCAAAGAACAAUCGAUCCUUGACAGGAAUCCUCACCAGGUUAAUGGGUUUGUUGAAGAUGUUUCGGGUAAAAAAGUUGCUUCAUUAUUUGGGAAGUGGGAUGACAGCAUGUAUUAUACCGAAGGUGAUGGGUCUAGCAAGACAAAAGAUUGCAAUUCCUCAUCUAAUGCCACCUUACUUUGGAAAAGUAC
rnacentral:misc_RNA from 1 species